CAAGAAGUGUACUGUUCUAUGCUGUUUGGUACCUUGCAACAACCGUUCAGGCGAUUUUAUUUCUAGGUACAACAUGCACGACAAGAUCAAGAUGUACCCCAUGAUUUUCAGGUUUUUAAUAACCGCCAAAGGAACAGACUGGAGUUUCCAUUAGUAAGCAGUCAAAAUGUACAACCUGAAUAAACACUUUGCAGUAUAAUCCCUUUGAUCCAGAUGUGCUAAAAGACAACUGUGAUGCUGAAACCAUCUGGCUGGGCUAAGAAUCACAUCUGUGUUGAAUUUGGCCACAUGUCAACAUGACUGAGGUGUUUACACUCGAGCUGCAAUGAAAGACCUAAAAUGUUCAUCAGAAUUUUACCAAUUGAAAGCCAAAGAAAGUCAAGACUGAAGUUGGAAAAAUAAAGGGAAGAAGCAUUUGUGUCAGAACCUCCCAUAAGAUUUAAAGCACUUUUGUAUGAACAGACCUGCUGCAAACAUGUAAAUGAUACACUUUUUGAGGAACUUUUGUCAUACUAAAUCCGUCUUUUUUUCCAUUCAGUGUGCCCAUUUAUGUUAGUCCUAAGUUUAAGCUUGCAAAAGUUAAGCAAUGAUACAUUAUACAUAUAUUACAUGGCU